AUUGAACGCUGGCGGCAGGCCUAACACAUGCAAGUCGAACGAGUGGCGGACGGGGGGGGAAUGCCUGGGAAACUGCCUGAUGGAGGGGGAUAACUAAUGGAAACGGUAGCUAAUACCGCAUACCAUCAGAUGUGCCCAGAUGGGAUUAGCUAGUAGGUGGGGUAAUGGCUCACCUAGGCGACGAUCCCGAGCUGGUCUGAGAGGAUGACCAGCCCCACUGGAACUUGGACACGGUCCAGACUCCUACGGUAGGCCGCAGUGGGGAAUAUUGCCCAAUGGGCGCAAGCCUGAUGCAGCCAUGCCGCGUGUGCUAAGAAGGCCUUCGGGUUGUAAAGCACUUUCAGCGAGGAGGCGUUACUCGCAGAAGAAGCACCGGCUAACUCCGUGCCAGCAGCCGCGGUAAUAC
rnacentral:rRNA from 1 species